GAUGAAGAACGUAGCGAAAUGCGAUAAGUAAUGCGAAUUGCAGAAUUCAGUGAGUCAUCGAACCUUUGAACGCACAUUGCGCCCUGUGGUAUUCCGCAGGGCAUGCCUGUUCGAGCGUCAUUUCAACCCUCAAGCCCCGCUUGGUGUUGGGCCCCGCCCGCUGUGGCCGGCCCUAAAGACAGUGGCGGCGCCGCCUGGCCCUCAGCGUAGUACAUCUCUCGCUCCAGGGUCCGGUGGCCGCCUGCCAGAACCCCCCAACUCUGUGGUUGACCUCGGAUCAGGUAGGGAUACCCGCUGAACUUAAGCAUAUCAAUAAGCGGAGGA
rnacentral:misc_RNA from 1 species